rnacentral:rRNA from 1 species
GUCCACGCCCUAACGAUGUCAACUGGGUGUUCGGGAAGCGAUUCCUGGGUACCGUAGCUAACGCGUGAAGUUGACCGCCUGGGAGUACGGCCGCAAGGUUAAACUCAAAGGAAUUGACGGGGACCCGCACAAGCGGUGGAUGAUGUGGAUUAAUUCGAUGCAACGCGAACAACCUUACCUACCCUUGACAUGUCCGAGAGCCCGCUGAGAGGUGGGUGUGCCCGAAAGGGAAUCGGAACACAGGUGCUGCAUGGCUGUCGU